AGAAUGACUUAGAUCCAGUGUGCAGGGCCUCUGGCACAGACACCACAUGCAGCACGUGCCCUAGACUAGCCCUACGGACCACAUGCAUCCCACUACAGACCAGCCCUGUGCACUAUGUGUAGUACAUGCCAGCCUCAGCCCUGUGCAGCAUGUGGCACAUGAGGCCAGUCCAGGAUCUCAUACUGCACCUGGGGCGGAUCCAGCACUAUGAGGCCAGUCUGGUGUGAGUGCCAUAGGCAGAAUACACCUGGGAUCAGCCCCAUGUGCUGUGUAAUGGCUCCAGCCCUGUGCAUCAUGUGCAGCUUGUGCCAGAUAAGCUACAUGCUCCCUGUAUAGUACAAGAGGUCGGAGGCUGGGGCCAGCAUGUACUGCAUGCGGUGUGUGGGGCUGAUCUAAGACCCACAAACAACACCAUGGGCCAAAUGAUAGGACUCCACCGGCUGUAUCUUUGACACCCCUGACCUAGCACAAUGGACCAUGAUGUUAUUGAAGGCCUUUAGGCACUGCUCUAAUAUAAAUAAACAACAACAACAACAACAAAAUGGUCUGGGUUUAAGACUGGAAGAUACAGAAUGUAAAUCCUGAUAAGGAACUACAAGCAAUGCCCAGACACGUGAGCAAUGCCCAGACUAAAUUACUCAAAUCACGGCAUUUGAAACUACAGUUAACCAAAAGGUAGUGUGUUGCUGUAGGCUCAGCUGAAAAAUCUUAUCUGUUUUACUAACAACUGGAGCCGAUUUAAAUUUCAGCCACUUGUCCUGAAUCAGUAGUAGAGGACAUUUGCUGUGGAAGUUUUGAGAUCACACCAGCUACCCAUGAUUUGCUGACAUCACCUGCAGUGGCAAUGAUAAAUGCCAGACCACCACUGUGUAAUCUCAACGUUAUACAGACUUCAUUACUCACUAUCGCUCUUUCAAGUGGUUAAGUAGAUCCUGCAAGGGUGUGUGAGUAUCAAAAACUUUACAUUAAUGUAGGAUAUGUAAGAGAAGGGGAAGGAACAUUUACAUUUCAGGUUUUUUUCUUCUUUUUUUUUAAUGUUAUUAUAUUUUAGUCUUGAUUCUUUCUUCAUUUUCCUCCAGUCCUCACCUCCACUACAUGGCUUAUUAUAUUCAGCUCCAGCUCUUCCCACUGACCCUAAAUCUUUUUCUUCUACCUUUCUAACAGAAUUUGCAAAGGUGAUCCCUUUUCCAAGGUAAGCAGCAUUUUGGAACCCAACAAUGGAGUCAGAAAUAUUGCAAAAUCCUAAACAGAAACUGGUUUGUUUUUACGUGCUCACUUUUGAAUCAAGGUGUAAUGUCAUAUUUAAAUGUCCAUUCUAGAUUCAUUACCAGUGAAAACAGAAUCACUGUAUUUUCAAGAGGCUGCACCAUUGUGAAGCUUUUUUUACUUUUGCUGUGUGUGUCUUUGCUACCUUCUGAUAUUCAGUUAUGUCCCUUCUCUGUUGCCUCUCUACUAAGCAAAGAUCUUCAGCUACUUCAGUGUUCUCUUAUAUAUGUCCUAUCACUCGAGUCACUUUGUGACCUCUGCAGCACUUCCGGAACUCACAGUCAGAGAAGGUACUUCACAAGCAUGAAAAGUCUACAAAAAUAGUUAGAUCCUAGACAGGACUUUGAGGUGUGAUUUUUUUCACUCUGAUUUGGUUGAAAAUAGGAUUUUCUCCUAUUUUUUGCCCCACUGUGCCCCACUUUCCUGUCCCCACCCUGGUAUAUUUACACAGGCUAAUCAUUACAUACAAAGUAAGAGUUGUUCACAGUCCAGUAAUAUAUAAGCAUUCAUGUUUUUAGUCUCAUGCAAUAAGUUACAGCUGAAAUAUUAACAAGCCAGAAGUACACACAUUAAUAAAUUACAGGGAUGAUAUUAAUACUGAUGUUGUACAAGGAUCUCCAAUUAUAGAUAGGGAGAUAAUGGUACCCAAAUCUGAUGAGUAGAGCAGCACUUUCUGUUGCUAAGUAAUCACUACCAGUGAAGUGAAUUAGCCAUUAGUAGGACUCAAGCAUAUCUGUGGACUCUGGGUUUCUCCUCAGGGACAGGUAGACAAUGAGGCAAUCAGCCCAUAUCCCUCUUCCCCUAUGAGUGCGAGUUUUCUGGCAAAGAAUGUAUGAAAGCAGGAAAGAAAAAUAACUCAUUGCUUCAAAAUGCCCCGAUUCAAUGGAAGGACAACAUGUCUAAUACUACCAUCAAAUAAUUUAAUUAAAAUAUUGUUUCCUGGGUGAAAAGUCUGAUAGUUUAAAUCAACACAGAGCAGUAAGAAUAUAGAGGUGCUGUCCUGCAAGCCAUUCACAUACCCACUCCUUUAUCCUUCCUGUACCUAACUUUAAAUAGACUCCUAAGUACAUACGAAUUCUGCAUUGGGCACAUGGGAUGGGGAUGUCUCUGAAUUCCGCCUUGGUUCAUCUCUUGCCUGUACCAGCCAGGCCUCUAUGAAUAAGAGGUGCCCUCAAAUCUGUCUCCUUACUCUAGUUCUGAGACACUGGCUCCUAGAAAUGAGACGCAACAUUUUCCAUAGUGCUUUACAUUACAAAACACUGUACAAACAUUAGCCACAAUACUAUUCAGCCCCUGGAGGGUCCAUUUUUUCUCACUUGUUAGCAUGACAAAGACAAAAACUGAAACAGCUUGUGUGGGAGCAAGAGCUGUGUAAAAUGGCAAGAGGCAACAUGUCUUUCUCACUACAGCUCAGCUUUUCAGAUUUACUUCAUCUAUGCCAUUUCCCUGACUCCUUUACUCUGCUCUUCAGUAGUACCAGUGUAACUAAUACCCCUUUCCUGGAGGCUAUGUUGGUACUUCAGAGAAUGGGCUAUUAGUCACUUUUAGUGAUAAGCUUGCUUUUAUAGCACAGUGAGAAAGAGCACAGAGUAGCAAGGGAACACCCCUGAAGUCAGGAGAAAGAGAAUUUUGAAUUGCAUUCUGUCGUGACAGAGGCCUCUGGCAUGUGCAUGACUGGCAUGUGUUGUCACUCUCAACUGGGAGAAGUGAGAACUGCAGGCUAAUGUUAAGAAAAAUGAGUCUGAAUUAAUGGACAGCAGAGCAAAUUAUUAUAAGGUUUUUUACAAGGGACUUGUAGUCCAAACCUUAUUUUUUUUUAAAUAAUGGAGGCAUUUGGGAAUACUGACUAUUAAGCAGACUUGGGAUACACCUAAACUGCAGACUGUACCAGGCUGAAGCAGAAUGAGCUUUGUCAGUGCCCUGGACAGAGUGCAGACCACCGGAGAGCAGGGGGAAGGGGGGUGGGCAGUGGGGAAGGUGUCUAACCUGCCCUAAGUCUCUCUGCACCAUAGUGACUGCUGCUGCAGCUGAGAAGCUCACGGCAUGCCAACUGCAGCAGGGGGCACCAGAAUGCCCCCCUCCCCACCCCGGGAGUCUUUGCUGUGGCUGGCACAGCCCAGUCACAAAAGCCAGACACAGCCUCAUGCCCAGUCGUAUAUGCGGAGAAGGCGUCAAGAAGAAUGGUAUCUAUCCCCCUCAGGAUUUUUGCCAUGGGAGGUGCAGCUCCUCACCCCAAGUCAAUAGCCAGGGCCCGCACCAGUUACACUACUGACACCACAGUCUACUGCAGUGAGCAGAUAUACACAGGCUAACUUUAAAUAAGCUAGUUCAGGCACCAGAAGCAGUCUGCUCAUAACAACACAGCUCCGUGUGAGUUAAUUAAACCUGCUUCUUGGCACACGUAUAACAGGGUAGAGAAGCUCUACCUGGAACCCCUGUUCUUCUUGCCAAGGUAAAUGAGCCCCUGUUGAGCUCUGUGUUGCUGCAUUAAAGCCGCCUCAUGGUCUCAGGGGUAUAGGUUAUAGCCGUGUUGGUCUAAGGACAUAGCCAGACAAGGUUCUUUGAGUAAAUCUGCUAUCUUUUAUUAGACCACCUAAACUAGUUGGAAAAAUUAUUUCCAGUUAGUUUCGGUGGUCUAAUAAAAGAAAAUAAUAGAAAGAAGUUUUCCAAUUAGUUUAGGUGGUAUAAUAAAACAUAAUCAGAUCUACCCAAAGAACCUUGUCUACCUCACAGUCUCCACACUAUGCUGCAGUGCUCUUCCACUCUAAGUCAGUGGUCUCCAACCUUUCUAAGGAGGAGAUCACCUUUGGCAUUUAAAAGCCACUCAAGAUCUACCAUGUGCUGCCACCUGCCCCCCCACCCAGCAGGUAAGUCUGUGGGGAGGGAAGUGGAAGGCAUAUCAAGGCAGAGGGAGAAAAAAUUAUUUGGGGGCAUGCCUCCCCAGCAGGGAAGUCUGUUCGCACCCCUUCCCUCCCCCAUGCACUGACCUGCUGGGCUGGUGGUGAGGCGCGUGCAUGCAUGCACCCGGGCACUCAGCAUCCCACUGCAGCCUCAGAUCGACUCCAAGAGGCUCCGAGAUCUACCAGUACAUAAAGAUCCACCGGUUGAUGACCACUGCUCUAAGUGCUUCAAAGAACUGACACAGGCUCCUAAAUCAGUUAGGCGUUUUUGAAACAUGGAUCGCAGUGUGCAGAUCUAACUGCCGGUCGACCCCAAUGUAACAAAGUCCAUUUUAAAUAAUUUAAACUGGUGCUAGUUCCUAAUGGAUGCAUGUUUCAAUCAGCCUUAGAUAGUUCAAAUCAAUCAGAAACCAAUUUGGUAAUUUACUAACGUAAGAGAUUAAACAGUUUAAAGGUAUCUACUCUACAGGAUUUCACUGGUUUAACUGGAAUGAAAAAUAAGUUCUUGAAACAGGCAAAACUUUUCUAGUAUAGCAAGCCCACAGCCUUACUCAGGACAAUGUUUCUUCCUUUCUAAAGAACAAAGCCAAGUUGAAAAUGAUAUGACAGUGGAUACCACGUUCAUUCUAGCAUUGAAUUACUGGAACAUCUCAGGAUAUUCAAUAAAGUAAUCAGGAGUAAAGAAAGAAAAGUCUCUUCUCCUUGAUUUAAAUGAUCUUCUUUCGGUAAGGAGGAACCUCUGGGGUUAGGCAAUAUUACUGUGAAUGGGUCUAGACUUUACACAGGCAUGGGUCACUAAUUUAAUUAGAUUUCAAAGAAACUAUUCUACAUUUACACUGAAUACAAUACUUCCUGUGCCCUCCCUCACACUAACAAGAAUAAAACAAUCCCACAGAAGUUUACACUUCAAUGCUUGAGGAAGCAAUAACAAAGUCAGUAUACAUACAAUAACUUUAGUCACAGACUGGUUUCAUGUUGUGGAGGUCAUUAGUGAGACCUUAACUACUUGACAAACUGCCAUGCUAGGCAAACAAAACAAUAAUUAAUCUUGCUCUUGUUAGACAGCUGGGUUUCCGCAUAGCACAACUUGCUCAGAAAAAGUGGCAACUGUAUCAGAAUCAAUAUUUUUGGCAAUACAAUUAAACUCAACAACUUUGAAAAACAAUACAAAUUAAUUUCAGUCUACUGAGACUGAGUCAACAUCGCUUCUUGGCCUCCUGCAGGCUCAGAUCAAGUGUAUUUUCUUAUUCUAUGUCAAUUAAGGUUUUUUUUUUAACCAUUAUCACUCUCAGAAUAUUUGGUCUUCCAAGCUCUCCUUCCAAUCCACAAGAGGGCAAAAAUUUUAUGACACAUUGUUAUCAUUUUGGUAAUGACAGUUUUCUACUAUCCUUAUUAUCUUCCCUCCCCCUCUUCAAGACCACUGCUAGCUUCAUCUGAUUUAGGUACGCAGCUUCAUGGAUUAGCUGGCUGGUGAAGCAGAGUGCCGCAUUUGCUAGAAAACAUCCUAAUACACUGGCUAAGUACAGAGAGUCAAAAAGCCCAAGGCUUAAUUGAUCUAAUCUACCCAGGUUUCUGAGGCUUUGCUGCCUCAGCUGUAUGACAGCCCAGGGUUGGAGCCGCCUGGCUCAGCUGAAGCAGAGGAGCUGGGGUGGAAGUGAGCACACCCUGAGAAGGGGGGAUAACACGGGGCCACAAUACAUCCUGGGAUGCCAAGGGACUGUGACCUAACUUGUUUCAGGAGGGGACCUGGAACAGAUGCUCAAUAGACUAGUCUAACCUAAAGUGAUUCAAUCUGAUACUAAAUCCAUCCAGGUCUAUUUUAAACCAGAUUCUGCCAUUUUGAAACCAGUCUAUGUAAAAUAAACUUCUUUUCUGUUACAGGUUUAGACCAGUUCCCAAUCACAUAUACCAGCUUAUGGGUAACUUCUGUCCCUUGUCACAGUUUCUCUUCAAGUAGCCCAAAGAACUGGCUGACCGUGGUAAUAACUUUUAUUGGGAAUUAAACCUUGUAUACCAGGUAGGAUCAUUUACCUCUGCUUAUAUUACUUACAGCCACACUACAGAAACUAUAAAGGAUGCUGCUGGCCUAAGCAAGCUCACAUCUGUAGGGUUACCCAUACAUUGGUAGCACAGAGGAAAACCUGGUGAAGUCACCAUAAUCAAGCAAAAAAGCAAGGCUCAUGUUUACUACUGAUAUCCAGUCUCAAACUUUAGUAAUCUGAAGCAGAAUAAAAUCUGGACUAGAUCUAAAUUAGCUAAAAAGACAGUCAUUAUCCUUUUGGAGUCCUUAUAGUGGGGGAAAAAAAAUCAAGACCAGUUUGAACCUUAUGUAAAAUUAUAGGAGCAGUCAGUAUGCCAUGGAAGUCCACUUUUGGAUCUACUGCAUGAAUCCAACACUAAAGGAGCUGUCUCUCUUACUCACACUACAGCUCUCCUGUUGGCGAGGGCUGCAGUCCUGCCUUUUUGCAUGAUAGUCAAAUGUCAGCAUUUUCCAAGAAGCAAAAGCAGAGCAGGUAUGAGGGAAAAUGCUGGCACUACCACUGUUCAUAAAGAAAGGACUGCUGGCAGGUGCUUGGCUUUGCCAGCACCAAAUAGUUGUGUUUAUACUACCUGAAAAAAUUAAACAAUAACUGUAGCAUAAUAGAUUUUGUAAAACCACGGCAUGUAGCCAUAAUAGUGUACGAAUUAAAUGCCCUGUUGGCAUCCUUUCCAUCCAAGCCUCUACUGACAAAAUACCACCACCUAUCCUUUUCACAGGCCUUGGAAAAGUCAAUCAACAGUGCAGUUAUAUCCACCUCUAUGAGGCAGUAUAUAUGGAAGAACAACAGCUACUAGCAUACAGAUUACCAGACCUGGUGAAACCUAAUGGGAUGAUGCAUCAAAAAAAAGAGUAGGGGAAGGGAGAGAUAGUUUCUUGAGACUGGGCCACCCGUAUAACUUCAGCAGCUGCAUUCCUUACUAUCAGCUCUUCACUCUGCAACAGGAGAACCACGCAUUUCCACAUGGCCAGCGUAUCGGAAAGACCUGAACAUUUACAAAGAGGGAAAGAAUUUAGAUUUUUGCUCCUCACAAGGCAAAUCAGAACAGUUAUAGAAAUAUGUACUUCUUCAUCUAAAAAUACCAAAAAUGUAAUAAAAAACUCAAAACAGGAA